UGGGGAAUAUUGCACAAUGGGCGCAAGCCUGAUGCAGCAACGCCGCGUGAGGGACGACGGCCUUCGGGUUGUAAACCUCUUUUAGUAGGGAAGAAGCGAAAGUGACGGUACCUGCAGAAAAAAGCACCGGCUAACUACGUGCCAGCAGCCGCGGUAAUACGUAGGGUGCGAGCGUUGUCCGGAAUUAUUGGGCGUAAAAGAGCUCGUAGGCGGUCUGUCGCGUCUGCUGUGAAAACCCGAGGCUCAACCUCGGGCCCUGCAGUGGGUACGGGCAGACUAGAGUGCGGUAGGGGAGAAUGGAAUUCCUGGUGUAGCGGUGGAAUGCGCAGAUAUCAGGAGGAACACCGAUGGCGAAGGCAGUUCUCUGGGCCGUAACUGACGCUGAGGAGCGAAAGCGUGGGGAGCGAACAGGAUUAGAUACCCUGGUAGUCCACGCCGUAAACGUUGGGCGCUAGAUGUGGGGACCAUUCCACGGUUUCCGUGUCGCAGCUAACGCAUUAAGCGCCCCGCCUGGGGAGUACGGCCGCAAGGCU
rnacentral:rRNA from 1 species